UUAAGCGUGUAGGCUGGUUUUCCAGGCAAAUCCGGAAAAUCAAGGCUGAGGCGUGAUGACGAGGCACUACGGUGCUGAAGCAACAAAUGCCCUGCUUCCAGGAAAAGCCUCUAAGCAUCAGGUAACAUCAAAUCGUACCCCAAACCGACACAGGUGGUCAGGUAGAGAAUACCAAGGCGCUUGAGAGAACUCGGGUGAAGGAACUAGGCAAAAUGGUGCCGUAACUUCGGGAGAAGGCACGCUGAUAUGUAGGUGAAGUCCCUCGCGGAUGGAGCUGAAAUCAGUCGAAGAUACCAGCUGGCUGCAACUGUUUAUUAAAAACACAGCACUGUGCAAACACGAAAGUGGACGUAUACGGUGUGACGCCUGCCCGGUGCCGGAAGGUUAAUUGAUGGGGUCAGCGCAAGCGAAGCUCUUGAUCGAAGCCCCGGUAAACGGCGGCCGUAACUAUAACGGUCCUAAGGUAGCGAAAUUCCUUGUCGGGUAAGUUCCGACCUGCACGAAUGGCGUAAUGAUGGCCAGGCUGUCUCCACCCGAGACUCAGUGAAAUUGAACUCGCUGUGAAGAUGCAGUGUACCCGCGGCAAGACGGAAAGACCCCGUGAACCUUUACUAUAGCUUGACACUGAACAUUGAGCCUUGAUGUGUAGGAUAGGUGGGAGGCUUAGAAGUGUGGACGCCAGUCUGCAUGGAGCCGACCUUGAAAUACCACCCUUUAAUGUUUGAUGUUCUAACGUUGACCCGUAAUCCGGGUUGCGGACAGUGUCUGGUGGGUAGUUUGACUGGGGCGGUCUCCUCCUAAAGAGUAACGGAGGAGCACGAAGGUUGGCUAAUCCUGGUCGGACAUCAGGAGGUUAGUGCAAUGGCAUAAGCCAGCUUGACUGCGAGCGUGACGGCGCGAGCAGGUGCGAAAGCAGGUCAUAGUGAUCCGGUGGUUCUGAAUGGAAGGGCCAUCGCUCAACGGAUAAAAGGUACUCCGGGGAUAACAGGCUGAUACCGCCCAAGAGUUCAUAUCGACGGCGGUGUUUGGCACCUCGAUGUCGGCUCAUCACAUCCUGGGGCUGAAGUAGGUCCCAAGGGUAUGGCUGUUCGCCAUUUAAAGUGGUACGCGAGCUGGGUUUAGAACGUCGUGAGACAGUUCGGUCCCUAUCUGCCGUGGGCGCUGGAGAACUGAGGGGGGCUGCUCCUAGUACGAGAGGACCGGAGUGGACGCAUCACUGGUGUUCGGGUUGUCAUGCCAAUGGCACUGCCCGGUAGCUAAAUGCGGAAGAGAUAAGUGCUGAAAGCAUCUAAGCACGAAACUUGCCCCGAGAUGAGUUCUCCCUGACUCCUUGAGAGUCCUGAAGGAACGUUGAAGACGACGACGUUGAUAGGCCGGGUGUGUAAGCGCAGCGAUGCGUUGAGCUAACCGGUACUAAUGAACCGUGAGGCUUAACCUUACAACGCCGAAGCUGUU
rnacentral:rRNA from 1 species